rnacentral:lncRNA from 1 species
GGGAAGACCAUUCGGGUCCUCCCUUUGUGUCCGUGGAGUUAUGGGGUGUUGGAGAUGCUCUCGGAUCCCUCUCUCCAUGAGGAGCAGCCUGCUGUUGGGGAGAACCAUGCUGGGGCAGUCUCUUUGCGGCACUUUGGACAGUUCUGUCUGGCUGUCCUAGCCCUCAGAGAGCCUGUUCCAGUCUUCUAGAGGUGGGGAGCACAGAGCCAAAGGUGCUGAGACGGCCGGGGCUGGGCAGGACGUUAGCACGAUGGACUGGCCAUGUCUGCUCGCAGCACAGCUGGCCUCUGGGCUGGAGGCGUGGAGUCCGAGCCCACCAGUCCCGAGCGGUUCUCCUGGCCUACACACUUCACCGUCUGCCAAGCCUGCCCUGCUGGGGCUCCUUCCCCGGGGAAGUCGCGGCUCUCUGGGCGGCAGUUUUCUCAUCUCUAAGGCGGAAGAUGUGUUAAAUGGUCUUCGCCGCCCCCUCCUUUUUUCCCAUUUAAAAAAAAAAAAAUGUGGUUUAAAAAAAUGACAACAAAAUUUACCAUCUUAACCAUUUUUAAGAGCACAGUCCAGUAGCGUUGGGUUCGUUGUUCACAUUGUUGUGAAACAGAUCUUUACAAAAUGUUUUCAUCUUGCAAAAUGGAAACGCUGUAUCCAUUAAAAACUCCCUGUCUCCCUCCCACUGCCCCGGCCACCACCAUGCUACUUCUCUCCAGCCUCUAUGAGUCACCUAUCAGUGCAGCCGUACAAGCAGUUGUCUUUUUGUGACUGGCUCCCUUCACUUAGCAGUGUCCUCAGUGUUCAUCCAUAUUGCAGCCUGUGACAGGAUGGCCUUCCUUUUUAAAGCUGAAUAAUAGUCCCUUGUGUUGCAAUGCCACAUUCUGUUGAUGUCUU